rnacentral:lncRNA from 1 species
UUCUUCUUCAUCUUCCUAUUCUUCUUCUUCGUAUCCUCUUUGUCCUCCUUUUCUCCUUCUUUUUCUUCUUUGUCGUCAUUGCUGCUGCCGCCGCCCACUCUCGCAGCCCGAGAAGGAAGAGAAAGAGGAAAAAGGCAACUGGAGCUUUUGGAGUGAUAUAUUUGUGAGGGCAAAAAUGUCAUUUCAUAAGCAUACUGUUAAAAAAUUAACGGUUCUCUAACGGAUCUUAACGAGAGGGACAUAUCUAAAUACAUUAGGACUUUUGUAGGAACAACUUAUGAAAGUUGAACUUUGCAGGGAUAUAUCUAGAAUUCGCUAUAUUUGCGGACACCUGUAUGCAAUUAACCCUAAAAAUAAAUACUAUAAUAAUUAUAAAAUAACCAUCUAAAAAAAUUAGUACAAAAUUAUAUUUAUACGGUGAAUAAAUUAUCACUUUUUAAACACGAUAAAUUAUUCAUUGCUUUUUUAAAAAUACUAUAAUAAUUUUUAGUAUCAUCUAUACAAAACUAUUAAUUCCCGUGGCUUCUAUCCGACGUGACAGAAUUCUGUUGAAUUUGGACCUACCUAACUACCAGCGUUAUUAUCACUUCCUCCAUCCUUUCUAUUGAAUAUUAGGUCCACCUCUACCAGAUACUUCCUUUCAUAUAUCCGAUUUAUCUCCCAAUGUCGUCUCUUCAUCUUCCCAUUUACUUUCUCAUUUAAUAGACUAAUCUUUUCAUCUUCCAUUUUCAUUUUCAUUUAAUCAAAUAAUCUCCUCACCUUUCCAUUUAAAUAGAGUAAUGGCAUUUAUCUUUCCAUUUAAUAGAAUAAUCUCCUCACUUUUUUAUUUAAUAGAGUAAUAGUGGGGAAAACGAGAAUGCCAUGCCUUUUCAUAAGGCAUCCUUUCAAUUCACCUUCUUCUUUCCCAAAGUUUAAAACAUGUACUGUUUGCUCUUCUAAUGCCAUGAGCAUAAUCGAUGAAGCCCUUCGACCCCCCUCCAUUACAUUAUACACGUUGUUGAUAAGGCCGGCGAUGGCAUCGGUGUUGUCGACUUCCACCCCUCUCCAAAUCUCUCUCUCUAUUUAGAGGAAUAUAUAUAUAUAUAUAUAAAAGUACAAUAAAAGUCGUUGUUUAUUAUGUUCUUCAUGUGCGAAUCUUUUUAGUGAGAUAAUUAUACAAAUGCUUUAAACAAUUGUGGCUAUGAUGUUUACUCCAUAUAUUGUGUGAGAUAAUUAUAAAAAUGCUUUAAACAAUUGUGGCUAUGAUGUUUACUCCAUAUAUUGUAUCUUCCUCUUUUUUUUUCCUUAGUUUACUUUCUUGGCAUUCAUUGCUUUUUUCUAUUCAUCGUCUAUUUAAAUCAUGUAUAUUAAAAUUAUUUUUAAGUAUAAUUCUCUAUAUUAUUAUUAUUUUAUUUUUUUUUUGAGAAAGAGGUAGACUAGCUACCUGCUUCAUUCAUUGAUAAGUGAACUAGGCGAACAGUAUGGAAGCAGCCAGGGCUUCCGGGGCAAAAGAAAAGCAAGAACAGAAACAAAACAAGAAAAAGAAGAAAACAGUAAAAAGACGAAAAGAAAAGAAAAAAAAGGAAAAAAAUGAGAAAGGAUUAAAAAAGGUGGUGCGCAGAGGGUUACGUCGGAGAAUCAGACCACAAAUUUGUAAGAAGAGAAGCCCGCUCCAGAGCUCGGGUGGCAUUAGGAGUCUUUGUUCUGAAAAUGAGGUUGUUUCUUUCCGUCCAGACAACCCAUCAAGUAGCCGCCAGGGAGGUUAAGGCCUUGGUUCUUUGAGCUGUGCUGGUAAUUGCUGUUGUAGAGGUCCAAAGGGCCCGGACACAAUCAGCAUCGUCGAUAGAUACCCCCGCCUCAAAGAGUAAGAAUCGCAUGAAGAUGCAGUUGGUGAAGAGAUGAUCGCAGCUUUCCAAGGCAAAAGCACAGUAAAUACAGUGAUCGUCUAUCUGCAUCCCACGACUAAGCAGUCUGUCAGCAGUAGAUAGUUUCUUACGGAGUAAGAUCAUAUUGAUUUGAUGAUAUUUUGUUCUUUAUUAAUAUUUUUUUAAUUAUAUUGAUAUUUUAUUAUUUAUUAAUUUAAUUUUAGUAGUAUUUAUCCGCCGCAAAGCGCGGGUCACUUCACUAGUUUAAUAUUAUACAUCUUUUGAAUUUUGAAAAUAGAAAAUAUAUAAAUAAGGAUAAAAACGGUGAAUUAUUCGCCGCU